AUUAGAUACCCGUGUAGUCCUAGCCGUAAACGAUACUCGCUAGGUGUCGGCCACGGUGCGACCGUGGUCGGUGCCGUAGGGAAGCCGUGAAGCGAGCCACCUGGGAAGUACGGCCGCAAGGCUGAAACUUAAAGGAAUUGGCGGGGGAGCACCACAACGGGUGGAGCUUGCGGUUUAAUUGGAUUCAACGCCGGAAAUCUUACCGGGACCGACAGCGAUAUGAAGGCCAGGCUGAAGACUUUGCCGGAUUAGCUGAGAGGUGGUGCAUGGC
rnacentral:rRNA from 1 species